CGCGUAGGCGGCUUGGUAAGUCGAUUGUGAAAUCCCCGGGCUCAACCUGGGAAUUGCAGUCGAGACUGCUUGGCUAGAGUGUGGGAGAGGGUGGUGGAAUUCCCGGUGUAGCGGUGAAAUGCGUAGAUAUCGGGAGGAACAUCAGUGGCGAAGGCGACCACCUGGCCCAACACUGACGCUGAGGUGCGAAAGCGUGGGUAGCAAACA
rnacentral:rRNA from 1 species